rnacentral:piRNA from 4 species
CUGACUUCGGAUCAGAAGAUUGCAGGU